CUGCCACUAACUAGUUGUCUGACUGAUGGUUAAGCAUGUUAUCCAGCUUCACCAUGCUUCAGUUUCCACACCUGCAAAACAGGGAGAACACACACCUCUCUCGCAGGGUGUAAGACUUAACUAGCAUUUGUGAAGCUCUCAGCUUUUCAGAUGAAAGCUGUCAGAGAAGUGUGAAGUGUUUGGUGCACCCUGAGGAAGGGGAAUAAAAAGCAUUUUCCCUCUCUCCAAAACUGAACAGCCACCUAUUUAUUUUGAAACAACUUUUAAAAUAAGUCCCAAUCUUUAAAGUCUGCCCCAAACAAUCUAGAAAACCUGGUCUGAUGAAGCAUAGACAUCUAUGAAUUCUCAGUCAGAAAAAUCCAGACAUUUGUUUUUCACCCAGGCAACCUAUUCCCAUCUUGUCACAACAACAAAUACAAAAGGAAGCUUUCUAAAAAGUUAUCUUGAUUAAAAUGUAAACUAUACAAAUGAGCAAGUACAGGCAGGAGAGUGAUAAUGAAGUCUGCAAUUGACAAGCCCUUCGCUGCCAAAGUACUGCUGUUUCAUUAUCACCUAUUACAUCUGACAAUCUUGCACAUCUCUUUCCUCCCUUCCAAUGUGAAGUAUUUUAAUCUUUGGGAGCUUCCAACACAAAUACCCCAGUAAGGGUCUAUUCCUGCAAGUCAAACCUGAAUGCACAAUUUAGAUUGAUAUAUGGUCCAUCUAACUGGCCUUAAGAUUGGCAGAAGUGAUUAAAAGCAGAGGGAAGGAACACAAAACUAUUAACACACUGUCAGCACAGCAGGUCACACGGUUAAGCAUGGCCUGACUUCUUUUGUUUCCUCAUUUUGCAUGUGUAUUUGCUUUUAAAAAAAGGGGGCGGAAGGAGGGAAGAAGAGUGUUCAAUUCUACAGCUAAUGGGGAACAGCUGACAGGCCAACUGGAGUCUCACUGUUGGUAAACUGCACACCUGUAAUAGGUGCCAAUUGACUAAAAGGCAACUAGUGUCUAUUAGUCUUUAGCCCCGUACACUCUUAUUACUGCGUAUUUGACUGUGGCAGCAGCUAGAAACUGUCAGGAUCCCAUUGUUGUGUGUACAAAAUCUAGCAUAAAGAGAUGGCCCAGUCCCAAAGAGCUUACAGUUGAAGAAAUCCUGAAACUAGCAUAAGCGCCUCCCAUUCUCCAGCCAGCCCUCCACUGGUUUUGUGCCCCACUCCUCCAACUGCUAUUUCUUUGGUUUUCCUAAAAGAGGGAGGAUGAUCCAGUCAUUUAGAUUCAAUUCUCUGCUGUCUCUCUGACUUUCUGUGAGACUGUGACACCUGUACCCCGUGUUCACCACUUGUAUAUGGCUAGGAUAUCUUUUGUGAGAUGUGAAACAAACACGGCAUGUAAAAUUAUGAAAUUUUGCAAUACGAUUGUUACCCAGAACCAUAAAACGUUUCAGUAACAUCCACAAACCAAUUUCUCAGAGACAAAGACACCCUAGCAUGCCAGCAAAGUGCUAAGGAGCCAAUACCAGCUUAAUCGGACAUUCUCCAGUGGUGGUGGUGGAGCUGUAAACAAGAAAUUCACAAUUCAUCUGAAGGACAGUUUGGAGCUCAGAUAUACAAUGGAACUGCCUGGCCCCAUGACUCAGCAAGAAUUUUUUUCGUACAAAGGGUUGGGGGUAUAAGAAGGGGAGAAAAGUGUCCCUAGCCUCCCUUUCCACCUCUCUGCUGACAAGAGCAAUGACUCUGAAAGAAUCUGAAAGAACUGAAUGAAGCGGGGGAGUGGUCCCAGGCCAACCUGUGAAAUGUAUUGCAGCACAUAGUGAGACAAAUAUUUUCCUUUUAAGACUAUUAGCCUUAGUAAAGUUUAAGAAUUAACUUGUGUGUUUAUCCUUUAUUUCUUUUGUAACUAAUUCUGACUUCUAGGCCUUAUCACUUGUCAUCUAUCUUCCUCUAGUUAAUAAACUUGUUUUACUGUUUUAUUUAAA